rnacentral:lncRNA from 1 species
CGAAAAAAGUGUACUUCCAGUAAGAACAUAUAAAAGCUGGAAAUAACAAUAUUUAAUGGUAAACAUAAUUUAGAGAAAAAAAUGCUAGAGCCAGAAAAUUAAGAACUAUUUACUAUGUUGAACUUUAAAGCCCAUAGAUAAAAAAAAGACAUGGAUGACAAAAAAUUAACAAAAAAUAUGAAAAAUUAAGAAAAUUAUGGUGCCUUCUGAUUCUAAGACC